rnacentral:rRNA from 1 species
AGUGAACGCUGGCGGUAGGCCUAACACAUGCAAGUCGAACGGCAGCACAGUAAGAGCUUGCUCUUACGGGUGGCGAGUGGCGGACGGGUGAGGAAUACAUCGGAAUCUACUUUUUCGUGGGGGAUAACGUAGGGAAACUUACGCUAAUACCGCAUACGACCUACGGGUGAAAGCAGGGGAUCUUCGGACCUUGCGCGAUUGAAUGAGCCGAUGUCGGAUUAGCUAGUUGGCGGGGUAAAGGCCCACCAAGGCGACGAUCCGUAGCUGGUCUGAGAGGAUGAUCAGCCACACUGGAACUGAGACACGGUCCAGACUCCUACGGGAGGCAGCAGUGGGGAAUAUUGGACAAUGGGCGCAAGCCUGAUCCAGCCAGACCGCGUGGGUGAAGAAGGCCUUCGGGUUGUAAAGCCCUUUUGUUGGGAAAGAAAAGCAGCAGGUUAAUACCACGCUGUUCUGACGGUACCCAAAGAAUAAGCACCGGCUAACUUCGUG